UUAAAUCUCCUUAUUUAUAAGUAUUCUUGCUCCAAUGUACCUAAACAUCUUACAUCCCCAUCAUGAGUCAUUAAAAGGCUUUUCAAGUACCGUAGAGAAUAACUUAUUUUUAGUUGGUAUAAUGGUAAAUUUAAGCUCUAAUAUUUAUCUUUUCUGUCAAUUUAUUAUUAUUUUUAUGAGCCUUUGAAGGCAGUAGCAGAUACGUG
rnacentral:lncRNA from 1 species